GACGAAGGUGGCGAGCGUUGUUCGGAAUCACUGGGCAUAAAGCGCACGUAGGCGGCAUUGCAAGUCGGAUGUGAAAUCCCUCGGCUUAACCAAGGAAGUGCAUCCGAAACUGCAGUGCUUGAGUACUUAAGAGGAUCGCGGAAUUCCCGGUGUAGAGGUGAAAUUCGUAGAUAUCGGGAGGAACACCAGUGGCGAAGGCGGCGAUCUGGGAAGAUACUGACGCUGAGGUGCGAAAGCGUGGGGAGCAAACAGG
rnacentral:rRNA from 1 species